UACGGAGGGGGCUAGCGUUUUUCGGAAUUACUGGGCGUAAAGCGCACGUAGGCGGCUUUGUAAGUUAGAGGUGAAAGCCUGGGGCUCAACUCCAGAAUUGCCUUUAAGACUGCAUCGCUUGAAUCCAGGAGAGGUGAGUGGAAUUCCGAGUGUAGAGGUGAAAUUCGUAGAUAUUCGGAAGAACACCAGUGGCGAAGGCGGCUCACUGGACUGGUAUUGACGCUGAGGUGCGAAAGCGUGGGGAGCAAACAGG
rnacentral:rRNA from 1 species